AAAAAAAAAAAAAAAAGGUGUCAACUUUUCACGUGGUGCUGUGCAUAUGUGUAUAAUGUAUAUUGUAUUCAUUAUAAAUUAAAAACCUAUGAAAGAACCAAAUCCAAACCACACGCAGUUGGGUCCGUUUAAUAGAAAUAAAUUGUUCUAAAUUUUUCCUCCUGGUUUUCUCUACCGUCCGUUUCCACCAACCACCAAAUUCUUAAUUUUUCUCGUUUUUGCUGGAAGUCUACCUUUUAAAAAUAAAUAAAUGCAUUAAUGUUUUCACGUGUGCAUUCAUUGUAUAAACAUAUGAAAAUAAAUCAAAACCCAAGUCGCAAAAACACCCUAUUGUAGACAAAACUGAUUUCCUACUAUAAUGGAUUUUAGAUUUGAUUUUGGUUGUGGCAAGAUCUAAAAAUGACCAUGUGUUGCUUGUAUAUAUAAUUGUUCCAUGGAUGCGUAUCUUCUUAUUGCUGUGAAACAUUGUUGGUUUAAAUGUGCAAAUUGUAAUCGGAACCGUCGUCGGCGUUGGCGGAUCAAGGAAACAGCAAAAUUGCUAUUUUUGCGACGAUGACGACAAUCCUUUUGAUGCUGUUUCACAGCUUGGGGUGGAGGAAUGUGUCGUUGUCCUAGCGGUGAUUUCCAACGGCUACAGAAACGGGGAUGGAGAUGGGAGCUCCAAUUGCAAUUAGUCAAGUUUUGAGUCCUCAGUUGCAAUUAUCAUUUAAGGGCUUGUCUGCAAUUAGAGAUCGGGGUCAUAUUUUAAUUUUUAAUAUAAGGACCUGCCAUGCAAUUUUGAAU
rnacentral:lncRNA from 1 species